rnacentral:lncRNA from 15 species
AUGAUUGACAACUGGAACUCUAAAUGUGAUUCAAAAUCAUGGAAAAAGAUAAAGCAGGAGAUCCACAGGACGUUUUCCUCUGCAUCCUAUGUGAACCAGUGUUUCCUUGACCAAAGCAAAGAUCAACAUUUCCAGACCUCACCAAAGUACUCCGGCUUGAACUUGUCACUUGCACAACUUGCUUUUGAGAAACUGGUGAAGAAGCAGGAUAUUUUUGCAGAGGUUGAGGCUGCUGUUUUGCAGUUGCUUCCUUCUCUUGAUGAGGAACCAGUGGGAGUGGAGGGGUUGAGGAUCUUCCUGCUGCUCAAUGAGCUUCUGCAUGUGAUCCAGAGACACAACAGGGGGAAGACUGAGCUUGCAGAGACGGUUGCUGCUGCCAUACAGAGACUCUCUGCUGAAAGCCUCCAGGUCCUAGGUACUGUGAGAAAUAACUGUAUGAAAGUUUGA